rnacentral:tRNA from 1 species
UGGGUUGUAGCUCAGUGGUAGAGUGCUUGCCUCUCAUGUGUGGUGCCCUGGGUUCAAUCCUUAGCACCACAU